GGUUGAUCCUGCCAGUAGUCAUAUGCUUGUCUUAAAGAUUAAGCCAUGCAUGUCUAAGUAUAAACAGUAAUACAGUAAAACUGCAAAUGGCUCAUUAAAACAGUUAUAGUUUACUUGAUAAUAAGUUUUUACAUGGAUAACCGUGGUAAUUCUAGAGCUAAUACAUGAGCAAAAUCUUAACUUUUUUAGGAGAGAUGCAUUUAUUAGAUAAAAAAUCAAUACAUGCUUUUAAAGUAUGGAAUUUGGUGAAUUACAAUAACUCAGCAAAUCGCAUAGUGAAAACCGGCGAUAAAUCAUUCAAGUUUCUGACCUAUCAGCUUUCGACGGUAUGGUAUUGGCUUACCGUGGCAGUGACGGUUAACGGGGGAUUAGGGUUCGAUUCCGGAGAGGGAGCCUGAGAAACGGCUACCACAUCUAAGGAAGGCAGCAGGCGCGCAAAUUACCCAAUUCUAACAGCAUAAGAGAGGUAGUGACAAGAAAUAACAAUACAAGGCAGUUAAAAUGCUUUGUAAUUGGAAUGAUAGAAAUUUAAACACUUUUUAAAGUAUCAAUUGGAGGGCAAGUCUGGUGCCAGCAGCCGCGGUAAUUCCAGCUCCAAUAGCGUAUAUUAAAAUUGUUGCAGUUAAAAAGCUCGUAGUUGAAUUUCUGCUAAAAAUAACCGGUCUGCUUUUAAUAAAGGUGGUAUCUUGGUGUGUUUUUAGCAAUAAUGUCCUUUGAAAUGUUUUUUACUUCAUUGUAAUAAACCAUAUUCAGGAUUUUUACUUUGAGAAAAUUAGAGUGUUUCUAGCAGGCUAAUGCUUUGAAUACUGCAGCAUGGAAUAAUAAAAUAGGAUUUUGGUUCUACAUUAUUGGUUUUAAGAGCUAAAUUAAUGAUUGAUAGGGACAGUUGGGGGCAUUUGUAUUUAACUGUCAGAGGUGAAAUUCUUAGAUUUGUUAAAGACAAACUACUGCGAAAGCAUUUGCCAAAGAUGUUUUCAUUAAUCAAGAACGAAAGUUAGGGGAUCGAAGACGAUCAGAUACCGUCGUAGUCUUAACUAUAAACUAUGCCGACUAGAGAUUGAAGGUCGUCUUUAUAAACGACUCUUUCAGCACCU
rnacentral:rRNA from 1 species